rnacentral:rRNA from 1 species
UACGUAGGGCGCGAGCGUUGUCCGGAGUUACUGGGCGUAAAGCGCACGCAGGCGGUCUGCUAAGUUUGGAGUGACAGUUGGUGGCUUAACUGCCAAAGUGCUUCGAAAACUGACAGACUUGAGGGCUUCAGAGGGACACGGAAUUCCGGGUGGAGUGGUGAAAUGCGUAGAGAUCCGGAGGAACACCAAAGGCGAAGGCAGUGUCCUGGGGAGUACCUGACGCUCAGGUGCGAAAGCCAGGGGAGCGAACAGG